CUGAGAUCAGCCGUGUGGGCGGGGCCGGCGGCCAGCGUGGAAUGCUCCGUGGUUCUCGAUCGUGGGUUGGCUUCUCUGCCCCUUACCUCCCCCUCCCCCGUUCCAAGGGUAGGAGUAAGUGGCGUCUGUGUGUCUGUCUGCGGAGUCUGUAACUUCUGGCCGACUCCUCUGUUUCUCCCUCCUGUUGCAGGUGCUGGUUUCUUGCCUGCCAUUUCCCUCAUCCUCACUCUCUGAGGUUGGCACUGUCAUCUCCCUUUACCUGUGAAGAAAUGGAGACAGAGGAAAGUUCACUCCCCAGCCCAAGAGCAAGCAGGCACGGCAGAGGAACAGGCUGACCACUGGUGGGAAACACACCUACAAGAUAUUCAUCAUCACUGACAGAAGAACAAUGAAAGACCCUGGAGUCCGUCAUGCCUGAAGGCUGACAUUUCUAAACACCCUCCUUACUGCCCAUUUCCCCUAUAUAACUGCCUGAAGAUUCUGUAAUCCUUGAAGAUGGGUUUUUGAGACAUUAGUCACCCGUCUUCUGAUUUGCCAGCUAAUCUAAUGAAAACUUCCUUUCUCAUCCCUGACUUGUGAUUAACUGGCUCAGAUCACUGUCAGCAGAGUGAGCCCAUUGCUCAGUAUUAAGACGUAAGCAAGUCAUGGAGGAGAAGUUUGUAUUUGGGGUCCCUGAACAUCAGCCAUUUUGUUAUUUGAUCCUUUUUUUCUACCUCUUUCCCAGCAGGAAUCUUCUCUGCCCUCCCCCAGGAAGCCAUAAUCUAGUGAUAAUUCCUUAGCUUUUGACAGUGCAUUACAGUUGAGCAAUCCUUUGCCCUUACGUUGUCUCAUUUGUCUUCCUCGCUUCCUCCCUUUCUCCAUACACCACCUCUCCUCCACAUUCCAGCCUCCCCCAGCCCUUAGCCUCAUUGUCUCUCUCCUAGACUCCAGCAAUGGCUUUUCACCUGGUCCCCGGCAUCCCUGCUGCCUCUUCCCCACAUUCCAAAUCCCUUCUCCAUACUCCAGUAGUAAAGAUCUCUUUUAAAAAUUAUUCAGAUCAUAUCACUCCUUAGCUUCAAACCCUUUAAUACCCUCCUUUGCACUUAAAAACAGUUUCCUUACACACCUCUCUCCUUCCUCAUUUCUACUGAUGCGGGAUCGGUGAGCCAAGGAGUCGAAAGAAAGAUUUCUUAGACUCUCAAGAUCUGGCAGUAGUGCUCUUUUAUUUAGAGAAUAGUGUGGAAUAGCAUGGGGACAGGACCCAUGGGCAGGCAGAGCUGGUGCGUGGGGACAGGACCCACGGGCAGUCAGAGCUCCUGCUGCUGCCCCUGCUGGCAUGGGGACAGGACCCAUGGGCAGGCAGAGCUGGUGCGUGGGGACAGGACCCACGGGUGGUCAGAGCUCCUGCUGCUGCCCCCGCUGGCAUGGGGACAGGUCCCAUGUGCAGGCAGAGCUGGUGUGUGGGGACAAGACCCACAGGCAGUCAGAGCUCCUGCUGCUGCCCCGAGUUGAGGGUUAGGGCUAAUUUUAUAAGGCAUGGGUAUGUGACUUAUUUUUACUGGAAAAAAAGAAAAGAUGAUGUAAAAAGUCAUUAAAUGAUUUCAGUGCAGAUGGGGUCUGGUUAUUGUGCGGUCAUAUAACUUUAGAUACAAAUCUGGCCAUAUAGAUCGGCAUGUAGGUGAGGAUGCCCUGGGUUUCGCUCCCUGGGGCGGUCCUAAUUCAUACCAUAAAAAAGUCCACUGGGUCGUAUAGUUUGGCAUGUAGGCCAGGUCACCUUGGGCUUCUCUAGCUGGGGCAGCCUUAAUCCACAUCACUACCUCUUGCCCCUUGUGCACUGUGCUCCAGCUCAACGACCUUCCUUCUCUUCCUCAAACAAGCUUAGCUCAUUCCCACUGUGGUACCUUUGCACUUGCUGUUCCCUCUGCCUGGAAUGCUCUUUAAAUUGCUGGCUGUUUGUCAUGCUUUACAUCUUUGACUGAAUGUCACCUUUUCCAGAAUCCUUCCUGACCCAUCCCCCACCAACUCUUCUAAAAUAGCCUCCCUCCUCCUAGUCACCCUGCUUACUGCAGUUGCAAUUCCUGUCUCAGUCUGAAAUUGAUUUGUUCACAUUUUUAUUAUUUGUUUUCCUCUAUUAGAAUAUAAGCUCCAUGAGGGCAGGGUCAUACGUGUUUUAUUUAUCAUUUUAUUACCUGCAUCCAGAAUAGUACUUUUUACAUAUUAGGCACUCAACUAAUAUUUGUUCAAUGGAUGAAUGCAUGAGUGAAUAAAUUUGAUUUUAUAACACUCCUGUGAGACAGGCAGAGAAAAUAUUCUCAAUCUUAUUUUACAGAUAUUUUCAGUUAUAUUUUACAGAGUAUCUGUACUUGCCAGUCAUGUAAGUGGUGGAGCCAGGGCAGAACAGAAGUCUUCUAAGUCCCCUAUGCUGCAUUCUUUUUGACAGUUCAUAAGCGGUUCAUCUUAGCCAUCUUAGAAGAUGGAAGAGGACGCGGGCACUUGGAGAGAAGAUCAACCGUCACGCUAUACUCACAUUCACAAAAUUGUAGCCAGAGAUGGAAGAGCGGGAGGAUUCCCUGCCAGUGUGUUCCAUCCUCACCAUGUCUGUACUGGGCGCAUGCAUAGCAUGGCUGGAGGAGGCAGGAGAGCAUGGUGGUUCAGGGCAGGGCUUUGGAGGAAGACAAACCUGGGUUUCACUCCUAAUUCUACUACUUACCAGCUGCGUCUUUAGAUAAGUUCGUUAUCUUUUCUGAGACUCAUUCUCCUUUCUUAUAAUGUGGGAAUAACAUCACUGACCUUUUAACGUUCUUUGGGGGAUUAAAUAAGAGAAUGUCUGAUGUUUCG
rnacentral:lncRNA from 1 species